rnacentral:rRNA from 1 species
CCUACGGGCGGCAGCAGUGAGGAAUAUUGGUCAAUGGACGAGAGUCUGAACCAGCGAAGUAGCGUGAAGGAUGACUGCCCUCUGGGUGGUAAACUUCUUUUAUAUGGGAAUAAAAUGUUCCACGUGUGGGAUUUUGUAUGUACCAUAUGAAUAAGGAUCGGCUAACUCCGUGCCAGCAGCCGCGGUAAUACGGAGGAUCCGAGCGUUAUCCGGAUUUAUUGGGUGUAAAGGGAGCGUAGAUGGGUUGUUAAGUCAGUUGUGAAAGUUUGCGGCUCAACCGUAAAAUUGCAAUUGAUACUGGCAGUCUUGAGUACAGUUGAGGUAGGCGGAAUUCGUGGUGUAGCGGUGAAAUGCUUAGAUAUCACGAAGAACCCCGAUUGCGAAGGCAGCUUACUAAACUGUGACUGACAUUGAUGCUCGAAAGUGUGGGGAUCAAACAGGAUUAGAUACCCCAGUAGUC